rnacentral:lncRNA from 1 species
AUGAGAAGCAGGUUAAUAUACGAUAUUGUAGAUAUGCAGCGACACCUACUACAAAGACCAGGCUGCUGUUGGCGAUGACAGUGGAAGAUGGCGUCGCGAUAGUCGUUUGGCUAGAACGGGUGACAAUAGUCUGAAAUUAGGAGGAAUGUUGAAGGAACAUACUUUGCCGGCGACAUCCCCCCUCAAACUCCUUUUAUGAAACAACGUUGUCUAGCAACAACGACCAAUACCUCUCCACCCAAAAUCGACGACGCCGGCGGCAUAACCACCACCAAAUCGAAGGCUUUUGUAAGGCGAUAGGGCUUCAGGAGCCGAUCUAGCAACACCAAUGAACACAGCUCUGCUCAAAAUUGACGCCCUAAACCCAACCACCAACAAAUCGAAGCCUUUCAUCAGGCGAUUAGGACUCCAGCAGUUAUGAUUUCACAACUUAGGUUACUCUUUACAACUUCGAUUGUUCAUUAGGAAGAAUCGUGGGAAAAUUUUUAACGAAUUCACUAUUUUUUUUUAACUUUGGGCUCUUAAUAAGGUAAUGUGAUGUUGAAGAAGCUGAUGUUCACCCAUUUCUCUU